ACUUUCAUGUUUAUAUUUGUCCUCUUUGGCUCAUGGGUCAAAAGUUUCUGCCUCUCUCUCAACUGCCUAACAAAAUUGGAUCAUUCCACUAAUUUUAUAAUAUACGGAUAUGUCAAUACAACAAGUUUUCAAAGGCAGGACUGGUGAAAUUAUGAAGAAACUGUCUUUAGGUGACAACUAAACUUUUAGUGAUUUUUGUCUUUGAAGCUGGUGGAGGAACUAUAAGAUGUGAAGUUCACAGAUAUUUUCUCCUUUGUGCUGGUUUUCUGCAGUCAUUGCAGCAGUCUAAUUGUUCUGUGAAGAAGAAAACUACAAUGAUAUAAAAUAGUCAAAAUCUACACAACCAGAGUGGAAAUUUCUGAGCAUGUCCAGAAGGGAAACAUAGGGCAAAAGAAGUUCAAAUAGAAUACAAACUGUGCAUAAGUGCCAAAAAUUGAACUCAUGUGGCUAUGGAAAUGACAUUGAGGUGUGUAAAAAAAAAAAAAAAAAAAAAAAAAAAAAAAAAAAGAUUUAGCCAUAAGCGGUCCAAGUAAGUCACAUCAGAAAUCUCUAGCUGAUGUGAAAACGAUGCCUACAUAUACCAAUUCCUAGCAGUUUUCUCUAGGGAUAAAUUUAUCUUUUCCUUGGAGAAAUGCAUAAAUUUCCAUUUAACACUGUAUUAUAUACAUUAUUGAAAGGUAUUCUUUACUAUGGCUAUAGAGCAGCCAAGAUAGAAGCAGCCAUUGUUAGAGAGAUGUAUCUGUGUUUAGCCUCAGGGCUUGGGUCAGUGUCACUUUUCCUUUGGAACAGAGUUAUCAUAUCCAGUUAUUAUCUUCUCUUCUAAUUAGUCCAGUAACAAGUCAUUGCUAUUUCCCAAGGCAGACUUCUGGAAAGAAUUUGUCAAUGGAAUAAGAUGGAACAGUAUGUUCUGGGCCAGAAAGACAGAGCUUCAGUUCUAUUUCAAGCUCUGCUGCUGACCUUGGCCAUCUCACUUUUCCUUUGCAUGUCAUCUUUAAAAUAAUACUACUGAUAGCUUACAUUUAUUUGUAAAAUUGUUUUCUCUCUCUGGCUGAAAACAAUUGUUGUGUUUGUUCUAUUAAAACAUUUGUGGGUUACCACAACUACUCAGUGGAGUUAAGAGUCUGAUUCUAGAAGGUGCUAAAUGUACUUUAGGCUUCUACAGCACACAGUACAGGACCUGGAUUCACAACAUAUUUACACUAAUACAAUUUACAUUAUUUAUGUGCACUGAUGUAAAUGAUAUGGAUGAUGCAGGUAUCUGGGGCUAUCUGCUUUCUGUAGGGUCUAUUAUAGUGCUUGUCCCUUGUGGCAGGAAAGGAUGAAAUACACUUUUUACCUAUUGCAAAAAACUAUCCCUGGGUAGCUGCAGA